rnacentral:rRNA from 1 species
UCAGUGGUGAAAGUCUUCCGCUCAACGGGAGAACUGCCAUUGAUACUGAUUGUCUUGAGUUAUUAUGAAGUGGUUAGAAUGAGUAGUGUAGCGGUGAAAUGCAUAGAUAUUACUCAGAAUACCGAUUGCGAAGGCAGAUCACUAAUAAUAUACUGACGCUGAUGGACGAAAGCGUAGGUAGCGAACAGGAUUAGAUACCCUGGUAGUCUACGCCGUAAACGAUGGUUACUAGCUGUUCGGCCCGAUUAAGGGCUGAGUGGUUAAGCGAAAGUGAUAAGUAACCCACCUGGGGAGUACGUUCGCAAGAAUGAAACUCAAAGGAAUUGACGGGGGCCCGCACAAGCGGUGGAGCAUGUGGUUUAAUUCGAUGAUACGCGAGGAACCUUACCAGGGCUUAAAUGUAGUCUGACAGGGCUGGAAACAGCUUUUUCUUCGGACAGAUUACAAGGUGCUGCAUGGUUGUCGUCAGCUCGUGCCGUGAGGUGUCAGGUUAAGUCCUAUAACGAGCGCAACCCCUGUGGUUAGUUGCCAGCGAGUAAUGUCGGGAACUCUAGCCAGACUGCCGGUGCAAACCGUGAGGAAGGUGGGGAUGACGUCAAAUCAUCACGGCCCUUACGUCCUGGGCCACACACGUGCUACAAUGGUAGGGACAGAGAGCAGCCACUUCGCGAGAAGGAGCGAAUCUACAAACCCUAUCACAGUUCGGAUCGCAGUCUGCAACUCGACUGCGUGAAGCUGGAAUCG